ACAAAUAUUAGAUGUAGGUAAAGGUAGUAAAUAGUACUGCAUCUAAAGUCAUUUUCGUAAUCAAUAUUUUAUAUAAACAUAUGCUCUCCGGUGAUCUAUAUAAACACCAAGAGCAAUCAACCCAUCUUUAGAGUUUGUGUGUCAUUUCUCCUCAUCAUGGCAUCGUAGAUCGAAACUCCCAAAAUCAAACAGUUUCCAUCUUUAUUUAUCCUCUUCUCCUUCGACGAUGGAC
rnacentral:lncRNA from 1 species